UCUCUCUUCAGCCACAGGGACACAGGAUUAGCUUGACGUCAAAUUGCCCACGAAACAGGCAAGGCAGGUGAGAUCUCGCUUCAGCCACAGGGACACAGGAUUGGCUCGACGUCAAAUUGCUCACGAAACAGGCAAGGCAGGUGAGAUCUCUCUUCAGCCACAGGGACACAGGUGCAGCGUGACAGCUUACCAAUGGUCCAGAGAUUCUUCCAAAAAUGGAGCCGGUAGAAAAUGCUCUUCACGUCGGAGGGUCAUCUUGCAUAGGGUAUAUGGGCAUCCUGCCUGGCCUCCUCCCUCUGUCCACGAUUGCUUUGGGGAGCAUGCACAUCAAUGACUGUCCCAAGCAGCCCUACAUUCCCAUCUACCUGCUGGUGUUUGGCUUGGUCGGCUUACUGCUACAGGUGCAGUACUUCCUCUGCAAAUGCUGCACCCAGUGCAACAAUCCAGUUGUGGAGAGCCUGAGCACCGCCUGCCGUGUCCUGCUGUGCCUGUUUGCUGUCUGCUGGCUGAUUACAGGCAGUGUCUGGAUAUACAGUAUUUUCCCACCAAACUAUGAAUCUCCUCGAAAACCAGAUUACUGCGAGAAGACUAUGUAUCUGUUUGCCUUCUGGACCCUCAAUGCCAUCUACGUCUUCACAGUCUUGUUCCUCAUUUACAGUACCUGUGCUUUUCUUUAUAGGAGCUUAUGUUAGACAGGUAAAAACCACAGCAGGCGGAAUCCCACCCAUUUAUAGCUUUAGCCAUAAUUCCCUUUGAUGGAUGGGUGGGAAUGGAUUCUGGCCUCUGUAUCCCACUCAAUUUCCUGUUUAUUCACACAACCUCAUGCUGCUGUUUCCCUUGAGGGUACAGUGUGGGAGAAGCUCCAUCUUUAAACAGAUGACAUCAGCCAAUCCUUACCGAUACACCACUUCAGGGAAAAGCGUCUGCUAUAUAAGUGUAAAUGCAGCAUACAUUAGAUAUAUACUUUCAAUUCCGUUUUAUUAGCCUAGUAGCCUGCCAAAUAAAUAAAUGUCAAUAUCAGCUCUGGCUAAUUUAAUCUUUUCUGCAUAGUAGUCUAAUUUCAGCUUUAGUGUCCAUGUGUAAUUUACUUGAAUUAUAGUAUGAACCUGAAUUAUAUAUAUUUUGAAUUGAGGUGUCCCCCUUUUGUAUUGUGUAGUAAUUCUGUUUAUAAAUGCUGGUACAAUUCACGAAACCUUUCUGAUUAUAGAACAAUAAAACCAAAGUGAAAAUGCGAUGAUUUGAGUACAAAUUCUCUUGCUUGCGGAAUAACAUAAAAGACAAUGUCCAGCACAGAUCAGCAUGGAACAGAUCUCCCCCACUUCCAUACAACCCUUAACUGCUACAGUGGUACCUCGGUAUACGUCCGCUUGGAAUAAGUCCAACUUGGUAUACGACUUGUUUGGACGCGAAACAUUUUGCUUGGUAUACGACCUUUGUUUGGAAUAUGACUCGCGUGCUAGAACCUGUAUGGAUCAAAAACGAGUCAGGACUCCGCGCACCACCCUUGUUUACCUCUCUCUCUCGAGACGAAGCCACUACUGCCCACGAGCGCCAGUACGCCAGUUACUACCAUUCAGCCAACAACCCGCGCUAUAACUAUCUGUGAAUUUUCACUUGAUUUCAUGUUUUUUCGCGUACAUUUUUAGUAAAUUCAUUAACCAUGAGUUCUAAGAAAGCAGACACUCGACUCCUCUCAGCAAGGUAAAGUGAGUGCAGCGGAGACUGAUUCCCAGCUACUCAAAGAACUUAUCUCCAGGUGCCUGGAGGUUCGUGACCUGGCCUACUGUCCCUACAGCCGCUUUCCUGUAGGUGCCGCGGUAUUAACCGUAGAGGGCGCUAUAAUCACAGACGAAGUGUGUUUGCUUCAGGCUGCAACGUGGAAAAUGCAUCUUACGGACUGACAGUCUGCGCAGAGAGGACAGCGGUCCAGAAGGCUGUCAUAGAGGGACACAAGAACUUCUCUGCCAUCGCAGUCACAUGCGAUAUCAAAGACCAGUUUGUUGGCCCCUGCGGAGCUUGUCGGCAAGUGUUGAUGGAAUUUGGGUCACACUGGGAUGUCUAUUUAAUUAAACCAGAUGGAUCUUACCAGAAAACCACCCUUCAGGAUUUGCUACCACUGGCCUUCACUCCUGCUCACCUUAAGGAUUAACUGCCGAUCGAAAUACAGCUUCCAAAGAGUCUGAUAUUAACAGCUACUUGUUCCUACUCUUAUUUGCAAAUUCUGAAGAUUUUUUUUUAUUUUUGUAAUUGGACAGACAUUUUGAAAACACAAUCUGCUCCUCUAGAGAAUCACGUAAAGUGGCCCAAUGUUUUAGACCUGGAACUUAAUUGACCAGGUCCAUCAUGUAAUUGUUGUUUCAGAAUUAAUGUAUAUGUAAAAAAAUACUAACAAUAAAAACACACACGCA